AACGAACGCUGGCGGCAGGCCUAACACAUGCAAGUCGAGCGCGCCUUCGGGUGAGCGGCGGACGGGUGAGUACCGCGUGGGAAUAUGCCCUUCUCUACGGAAUAGUCCUGGGAAACUGUGGGUAAUACCGUAUACGCCCUUUGGGGGAAAGAUUUAUCGGGGAAGGAUUAGCCCGCGUUGGAUUAGGUAGUUGGUGGGGUAAUGGCCUACCAAGCCGACGAUCCAUAGCUGGUUUGAGAGGAUGAUCAGCCACACUGGGACUGAGACACGGCCCAGACUCCUACGGGAGGCAGCAGUGGGGAAUCUUAGACAAUGGGGGCAACCCUGAUCUAGCCAUGCCGCGUGAGUGAUGAAGGCCUUAGGGUUGUAAAGCUCUUUCAGCUGGGAAGAUAAUGACGGUACCAGCAGAAGAAGCCCCGGCUAACUCCGUG
rnacentral:rRNA from 1 species